rnacentral:rRNA from 1 species
GACGAACGCUGGCGGCGUGCUUAACACAUGCCAGUCGAACGGAAAGGCCCUGCUUUUGUGGGGUGCUCGAGUGGCGAACGGGUGAGUAACACGUGAGUAACCUGCCCUUGACUUUGGGAUAACUUCAGGAAACUGGGGCUAAUACCGGAUAGGAGCUCCUGCUGCAUGGUGGGGGUUGGAAAGUUUCGGCGGUUGGGGAUGGACUCGCGGCUUAUCAGCUUGUUGGUGGGGUAGUGGCUUACCAAGGCUUUGACGGGUAGCCGGCCUGAGAGGGUGACCGGCCACAUUGGGACUGAGAUACGGCCCAGACUCGUACGGGAGGCAGCAGUGGGGAGUAUUGCACAAUGGGCGGAAGCCUGAUGCAGCAACGCCGCGUGCGGGAUGACGGCCUUCGGGUUGUAAACCGCUUUCGCCUGUGACGAAGCGUGAGUGACGGUAAUGGGUAAAGAAGCACCGGCUAACUACGUG